CAAUAGCGUAUAUUAAAGUUGUUGCGGUUAAAAAGCUCGUAGUUGGAUUUCUGCUGAGAACGACCGGUCCGCCCUUUGGGUGUGUAUCUGGCUCUUUCUUGGCAUCUUCUUGGUGAACGUUGCUGCACUUGACUGUGUGGAGCGCUACCCAGGACUUUUACUUUGAGGAAAUUAGAGUGUUUCAAGCAGGCAUACGCCUUGAAUACAUUAGCAUGGAAUAAUAAGAUAGGACCUCGGUUCUAUUUUGUUGGUUUCUAGAGCUGAGGUAAUGAUUAAUAGGGAUAGUUGGGGGCAUUCGUAUUAAACUGUCAGAGGUGAAAUUCUUGGAUUUGUUAAAGACGGGCUACUGCGAAAGCAUUUGCCAAGGAUGUUUUCAUUGA
rnacentral:rRNA from 1 species